rnacentral:rRNA from 1 species
UACGGGGGGGCAAGCGUUGUUCGGAAUUACUGGGCGUAAAGGGCUCGUAGGCGGCCCACUAAGUCCGACGUGAAAUCCCCAGGCUUAACUUGGGAACUGCGUCGGAUACUGGUGGGCUUGAAUCCGGGAGAGGGAUGCGGAAUUCCAGGUGUAGCGGUGAAAUGCGUAGAUAUCUGGAGGAACACCGGUGGCGAAGGCGGCAUCCUGGACCGGUAUUGACGCUGAGUGAGCGAAAGCCAGGGGAGCAAAACGGG